AAUGAAAAUAUAGUGUAUCAGAUGAAUCCAUAACUUAUCAUAUGUGCAAAUAGGUGUCACCUAUAAGUCAAAUAAUCCAAGUUAUUUGGUGUUGGGACAACCUAUCCAUGAUUCAAAGUACCAUGGAUGAACAUUUAAUAAUCCAUUAGUAGGUUUGAAACAAGGAAGGUUCAAUCAAACUCUCACCAAGCCAACAUCAUGACAAAAGAUAGAUUUUAUUGGCCCUUACCUUCAACAUUUCAAAAGUCCCUUAAAAAUAAUUCAAAUAAAAUAAAU
rnacentral:lncRNA from 1 species